rnacentral:rRNA from 1 species
UACAGAGGUGGCAAGCGUUGUUCGGAAUUACUGGGCGUAAAGGGCGCGUAGGCGGUCCGAUAAGUCCUGUGUGAAAUCCCUCGGCUCAACCUUUGAAUGUCAGCGGAUACUGCCGGGCUAGAGUCCGGAAGAGGCGAGUGGAAUUCCUGGUGUAGCGGUGGAAUGCGCAGAUAUCAGGAGGAACACCAACGGCGAAGGCAGCUCGCUGGGACGGUACUGACGCUGAGGCGCGAAAGCGUGGGGAGCGAACAGGAUUAGAACCCUACG